UGGCUGUGGCCGGCAGGGCGUCUGGGAGGGGCUCGGGCGCUGGGGCAGGGAGGAGGUGGGAGGGGCUCCCUUACUCAGGUCUGGUCCCAGCCUCCUGGGGUGGGCUCUCAACUGGCUGGGAGGGACAGACUAUUUAGAGAAAAGGGCGUGUUCGUUGUCUCUUGACCUCUCUGUGCCUCAGUUUCCUUUCAGGAUUGGUGUGGGAGAGUCAUGAGUUAAUGCUCACUGAAAGCAAGCACUAACUCAUGGCUUAAUACGGAAGUGCUUGGGACAGUUCCUGGCACACAGUAAGCGCUGCGUAAUUGUGAGCUACGUCUGUCACCACCAUCAGCACCAGGGCCACGGUCACCGUCCCCACGAGCGUCCUCAUCCUCCCGGGAAGCUGCAUCCAGGCAGCACGGACCAUAGUGACGAGAGUGGGCCGUCUCCCCCAGGCGCUGUGCAUCCCAGGCCAUCGCCGAUCCUCUCUGAAUCUCUGCACUUGAUCACGGGACCAAGACUGAGCCCCCCCUGGGGGUCUCCGGGAGAAGAGAUGCCGCCGCCGCAGCAGAUGAGCCUUAGCAGUCUGCCCAGAACAGCUGCUUCCUCGGAGCCAGCGCUUCCUCCUCCCGCUGCGGCCGGUCCUGGCGCUCCUUCCCCCUCUCCGGACACCAGCCUACACCUGCCUCUUGCCUCCCCUCGCCACAGCUCGCACAAGCUUCACAGGGCCGUCCUCCUGCCUCAGCCUCCUGAGUACUGGGAUUACAUACAGGACCCCUACGUCUGCUGCCAGGACUGAAAACGGUGUGCUCUCCCUGUGCGCAACCUGAGGGCAGAGCCCGGCCCGGAUGGCACCAGCGCCCCCAGCCCGGAAAGGACACCUCACUGAUUUCACAGGAUCCUAUCCGCCGCUCCUGCGUUCCCAGUUUACUUUCGGGCCUGAGGGGCCGGCGACGC
rnacentral:lncRNA from 1 species